ensembl:lncRNA
UCUAUAUCCACCUGAGUUCUGACACAUUUGACCAACAAUAGAAGGUGAAAUGUGCAGAAGGGUAUCUCAGCUCUUUAAAUACUGGUGUGUACAUUGAGCUUUGUUAAACAGGAAAUCCUAGCAUGGGUCUAAUCCUACUCAAAUGUGCUAAUGAUCCUGGGUCUUGAUCCUGGGUCAUAUUUCUACAACCACUUUAAGUGUGCAUGGAUUUUUGGGGAACGUGGUACGUAUGGGCAAACAGUUAUAGAUUAAGCACAUUUGGGAGAUUCUCUGUUGCUGGAACUUCAUCUGUAAGAAGAAUUGUCAAUGUUUGGAACCUAAAUGCUAACAAAUUAGGCAUUAUGUUGGUCUCAUUUUAGGUUAUACUUAGGAGGAACCAGAAGAAUAUAGCUAUCAGCUUUCCACAUGGCCAUGAGUGAAGAUGAAGAGAUAGUAAAGGCACUCUCCAUUUUAGUUUUGUUAUUAGACUACAUCUCCUUGUAUCUACCAGCUGUGUAUGAACCAAGCCACUCGCAUUUACAUGAAUAAAAUGUGAUAUUCUUGGACUAAUCAGUUAUGUCUGUUUCUCGUUCAAUAUAGUAAAACAUUUGGUGCAAAAGAUACUGAUGGCAGAACAGAAGAUGACUGGAUAGAGGGUAAUGUGAUCUCUGUAUACUCCCCCAAUCAUCCAACCACCCUCACAUACGCACAUUAACGCACUUCCUUGAACACCUGUUUCUCUGGGUCUUUCAGCUCUGAGCGGUAUUUGCAUCUCAAAGACGGUAGAUUCCCACAACACGCCUCGCCCCAACUAUUUCCCAUCACCCGUUAAUGGAUGUGCAGGGCCUGUAAAAUGUGCAACGGCCAAACAAUAAGGAUAGCCGUGUUCCUCACUGUGAUGCUUUUAUCUAGACAGUCAUAAUUACCAGAAAAGGCUGUUUCACACUCUGUCCGACAUCCUACUAAUUGCCCUGAGGCCAGGUUAUUCUCUUCAACAUAAUUUGCAUCUAAACAUACUGUACCAAACAUUUUUUGGGGACUUUCAUGUUUCUGUCUCCCUGCCAUAGAUGCACUGAAACUUAACUUAACAUAAUACAUUUUAGGGCCUCUGUAGAUUGCUUCUUCCGUUUAUUAUUUUUUAUUAUUUACAAUAACGGCCUACCCCGGCCGAAUUGUGCACCGCCCUAUGGGACACCCAAUCACAGUCGGAUGUGAUGCAGCCUGGAUUCAAACCAGGUACUGCAGUGACACCUCUUGUGCUGAGAUGCAGUGUCUUAGAACACCACCACUCGGGAGUCCCAACAGUUCACCGUUGAGAUGAAGGAGAAUAUAUAUUUACUCUACCCCAAGGGAAAGGAGAGAGGGAUCCUCACUUCCACAGACAGCCAGAAGACAAGAUGAUAUGAAUUUCAGAUCAGAUGAUGGAGGACAUUCAGACAGGGGCCCAGAUUACAGGGAGUGUAAUUGGAGAACAGUGAAUAGCAUCAGAGCUGAUCUGUGGAGGACAAGAAACGACCCAGACAUUCCUCUAGAACCAACCCAACUUACAGGACAUACUGUAACAGUGUAGGUCACUGUAACCACUAUCCGUUCAACUACCGAGCGCCUCCCUGUUUCAUCUAUUGCUUCUCAUUGGAUCCUAUGAUCACUCGGCUACACAGCGGAUGCCUGCUGGACGGUUCAUUAACACAGUACUUCAUUUUAUUUACCUGUCGGCUCCAGCCUCGAACCCAGGCCCUGUCUGUAGCUAACUGACCCUCUCUGCCCAUUCAUCGCCAUGUUGUCUCACCCGUUGUUGUCUUAGCUCUCCCAAUCAACACCUGUGAUUGCUUUAUGCCUUUCUCUAAUGUCAAUAUGCCUUGUAUAUUGUUGUUUAGGGCAGCUCUCAUUGUUUAAUUUUACUGCGGAGCCCCUAGUCCUGCUCAACAUGCCUUAGAUAGCCCCCUUGUCCCAACCCCACACAUGUGGAGACCGCACUUAGCUUAAAUGGCACUUCCAGAGAUGCAACCUCUCUCAUCGUCACUCAAUGCUUAGGUUUACCCCCACUGUACUCGCACCCUACCAUACCCUUGUCUAUACACUAUGCCCUGAAUCUAUCCUACCAUGCCCAGAAAUUUGCUCCUUUUAUUCUCUGUUCCCAAAUCACUAGACAACCUGUACUUAUAGCCUUUAGCUGUACCCUCAUCCUACUCCUCCUCUGUUCCUCUAGUGAGGUAGAGGUUAACCCAGGCCCUGUGUGUCCCCAGGCGCUCUCAUUUGUUGACUUCUGCAACCGUAAAAGCCUUGGGUUCAUCCAUGUUAACAUCAGAAGCCUCCUCCCUAAGUUUCCUUUAUUCACUGCUUUAGCACACCCCGCCAACCCUGAUGUCCUAGCCGUGUCUGAAUCCUGGCUUAGGAAGGCCACCAAAAAUGCAGAAAUGUCCAUCCCCAAUUACAACAUUUUCCGUCAAGACAGAACAGCUAAAGGGGGCAGAAUUGCAAUCUACUGUAGAGAUAGCCUGCAGAGUUCUGUCAUACUAUCCAGGUCUAUGCCCAAACGGUUCGAGCUUCUACUUUCAAAGAUCCAUCUCUUCAGAAAUAAGUCCCUCACUGUUGCUGCUUGUUAUAGACCCCCUCAGCUCCCAGCUGUACCCUGGACACCAUGUUUGAAUUGAUUGCCCCCCAUCUAUCGUCAGAGUUCGUACUGCCAAGUGAUCUAAAUUGGGAUAUGCUUAACACCCCUGCCGUCCUACAAUCUAAGCUAGAUGCCCUCAAUCUCACACAAAUGAUCAAGGAACCUACCAGGUACAACCCCAAAUCCAUAAACAUGGGCACCCUCAUAGAUAUCAUCCUGACCAACUUGCCCUCUAAAUGCACCUCUGCUGUUUUCAACCAGGAUCUCAGCGAUCACUGCCUCAUUGCCUGCAUCCGUUAUGGGUCCGUGGUCAAACAACCUCCCCUCAUCACUGUCAAACGCUCCCUAAAACACUUCUGUGGGCAGGCCUUUCUAAUCGACCUGGCUCGGGUAUCCUGGAAGAAUAUUGACCUCAUCCCGUCAGUAGGGGAUGCCUGGUUUUUCUUUAAAAGUUCUUUCCUCACCAUCUUAAAUAAGCAUGCCCCCUUUAAAAAAAUGUAGACCUAAGAACAGAUAUAGCCCUUUGUUCACUCCAGACUUGACUGCCCUUGACCAGCACAAAAACACCCUGUGGCGUACUGCACUAGCUUCGAAUGGUCGCCAAUGAUAUGCAACUUUUCAGGGAAGUCAGGAACCAAUACACACAGUUAGUUAGGAAAGCAAAGGCUAGCUUUUUUCAAAAAUACCUCCUCCCAGCUGCCCAAUGCACUGAGACUAGGAAACACUCUCACCACUGAUAAAUCCACGAUAAUCGAGAAUUUCAGCAAGCAUUUCUCUACGGCUGGCCAUGCUUUCCACCUGGCUACCCCAACCCUGGCCAACAACUCUGCACCCCCCACAGCACCCCACUUCUCCUUCACCCAAAUCCAGACAGCAGAUGUUCUGAAAGAGCUGCAAAAUCUGGAUCUCUACAAAUCAGCUGGGCUAGACAAUCUGGACACUCUCUUCCUAAAAUGAUCUGCCAUUGUUGCAACCCCUAUUACUAGUCUGUUCAACCUCUUUCGUAUUGUCUGAGAUUCCUAAAGAUUGGAAAGCGGCCGCGGUCAUCCAACCUCUUCAAAGGGGGAGACAGACUGUUACAGACCUAUAUCCAUCCUGCCCUGCCUUUCUAAAGUCUUCGAAAGCCAAGUUAACAAACAGAUCACCGACCAUUUCAAAUCCCACCGUACCUUCUCUGCUAUGCAAUCUGGUUUCCGAGCUGGUCACGGGUGCACCUCAGCCACGCUCAAGGUCCUAAACAAUAUCAUAACCGCCAUCGAUAAAAGACUGUACACAGCCCAUCUGUAAAUAGCCCAUCCAAUCAACCACCUACCUCAUCCCCAUAUUUGUUUUUGUUUUUCUGCUCUAUUGCACACCAGUAUUUCCACUUGCACAUCCUCAUCUGCACAUAUAUCACUCCAGUGUAAAUUGCUAAAUUGUAAUUACUUCGCCACUAUUGUCCUAUUUAUUACCUUACCUCCUUACUUCAUUUGCACACACUGUAUACAGAUUUUUGUAUUGUGUUAUUGACUGUACUUUGAUAUAUCCCAUGUGUAACUCUGUGUUUUUUUUUGUCGCACUGCUUUGCUUUAUUUUGGCCAGGUUGCAGUUGUAAAUUAAAACUUGUUCUCAACUGGUCUACCUGGUUAAAUAAAUAAAUGAAUAAAAC